UGGCGGACGGGUGAGUAAUGUCUGGGAAACUGCCUGAUGGAGGGGGAUAACUACUGGAAACGGUAGCUAAUACCGCAUAACGUCGCAAGACCAAAGAGGGGGACCUUGGGCCUCUUGCCAUCGGAUGUGCCCAGAUGGGAUUAGCUAGUAGGUGGGGUAAAGGCUCACCUAGGCGACGAUCCCUAGCUGGUCUGAGAGGAUGACCAGCCACACUGGAAUGAGACACGGUCCAG
rnacentral:rRNA from 1 species